UAUGACCAUAUCAGUUUGAAGCAUCGGUUCUCGUAAGAACACCGUUAAGCAACGUCGGACCUGGCCAGUACCUAGAUGUGUGACUGCUUAGGAAUACCAGGUGCUGUAA